GCCUCCGUAGCUCAGGGGAUAGAGCACCGCUCUCCUAAAGCGGGUGCCGCAGGUUCGAAUCCUGCCGGAGGCGC
rnacentral:tRNA from 1 species